UGAGGAAUCUUCCACAAUGGGCGAAAGCCUGAUGGAGCAACGCCGCGUGCAGGAUGAAGGCCUUCGGGUCGUAAACUGCUUUUAUAAGUGAAGAAUAUGACGGUAACUUAUGAAUAAGCACCGGCUAACUACGUGCCAGCAGCCGCGGUCAUACGUAGGGUGCAAGCAUUAUCCGGAGUGACUGGGCGUAAAGAGUUGCGUAGGUGGUUUGUUAAGUGAAUAGUGAAAUCUGGUGGCUCAACCACGUAGACUAUUAUUCAAACUGGCAAACUCGAGAGUAGCAGAGGUAACUGGAAUUUCCUGUGUAGGAGUGAAAUCCGUAGAUAUAGGAAGGAACACCAAUGGCGUAGGCAGGUUACUGGGCUAUUUCUGACACUAAGGCACGAAAGCGUGGGGAGCGAACCGG
rnacentral:rRNA from 1 species